rnacentral:rRNA from 1 species
AACGUAGGACGCAAGCGUUAUCCGGAGUUACUGGGCGUAAAGCGCGGGCAGGCGGUUCUGCCAGUCUGAUGUGAAAUCUCUCAGCUCAACUGGGAGCAGCCAUUGGAAACUACAGAACUGGAGUCUGACAGAGGUAGGCGGAAUUCCGGGUGGAGUGGUGAAAUGCGUAGAGAUCCGGAGGAACACCAGAGGCGAAGGCGGCCUACUGGGUCAGUACUGACGCUGAGCCGCGAAAGCCAGGGGAGCGAAC